CCCUCUUGUCUUCUCUCUCCUCUCCGCGCGCCGCCCUCUCUGUCUCCUGUCUGUCUGUCUCUCCUCUCCGCGCCGGGCUGGCCGGCCGCUGGCAGCAUGCGGUCGCGGGUGUCUUCCUGGCGCCGGCAGUGGAGCCUGCUGCUGAGCCGAGGGGAGCGGCAGGCGCCUGCGGCCCGCGCCGCCUUUGCACAGCAGUCCGUGCACGGGCACUUCCGAGCCCGGCUGGGGGACGGGUCGGCAGGCCUCGGCUUAUCUGUAUGAACAACCGUUGCAAAGUAGUUCGUGAUGUCUGCCUGACGCCACUGCUUGGAACUGACGUAGGUCAGGUCGGGGAACUCAGCUGGAGUCGCUCCGACCUCUGCUGACUCAUUGGUUUCUUCCCAAGCUUCCUAUCCUCGCAGCACCAUAAUGGAGUUUUAAGACGUCCAUCGGCGUGUUGUCCUUGAAUAAAGAAUGAGAGUCUGGAAGCCCAUCUGGGGCAGUGCCCAUUCACAGAUUCUACACUUACCUGUUGGCUAAAGACCUAAAGUUUGGAGCCUACUGCUUUGGGGACUUGGCUUUGGGAAGGCUGUGAUGCCUAGAUGAUGGUUCCUAAUUCCUGACCUGCAGGCUGUGCCGAGUGGAGAGCCACGCCCUUUCCCCCUGUUUGCUGUGGAUUUUGCUGAUACAAAGGAUGUCCUCUAGUUGGUGCUGAGCAGAUCCUAGGAACAUCUUUCCUGUAUUGACCUGUGUGAACAGCUAUAAUCUUAUUGGAGAAAAAAUUACUUAGAUAUUUGGGGGCACUUACCUGUCAAGUAGAUAGCUUUUACUUGUAUUUGCUUUAUCUUGUGCAACAAUCUGGUUUUAUCUGAAAGACUCCAAUAAAAAGAUUAACAUCUCA